GGAUUUGAAAUAGUAGAUCAAGUUCCCUUCUUCUAUUAUGUCCAGCCUGCUCUUUUUGUGGCCUCAGCUGUCUAGCCAGAUCCGACGAUGAUAUUAUUGAUGGGGAUAAAGAUGAGCUUGACGAAGAAACCGACGAAUCCCAUAACGACGAAGCCAAUCGCUGUACGAACCGCGACCUUAGUGAACUCUACAUAAAUCUUUGCGA
rnacentral:misc_RNA from 1 species